GACUCCAGGUGUGGGAGCGGCGGGCUCCUUCCUGAUGCUUUGCGGUCCGGUGGCUUGGAUGCUACCCAUUGUCACCACAAACAAAAGGGAACAAGAGUCCUGCAAGGAAUCGGAGGAUUUACAUGGUACCCCCUGCAAUGGAGGGCUCUGAGUCUUUAACCCAUCGCAGGCCCAGCUGACACUGCUAGGGCCACUUAUGGAUGGAAUCCUCCCCGGAGCUGUGCCCAAGAGCCUCUGGCAAUUCCGUGGCCAUUUGCAGUGGAAGUCGAUCGUACCUAAGCUGAUGCUCACGAUACCUGGGUUAUCUGCUUACGCACUCCUGCUAUCUUCUGGCAACAGAGUCGAACUGUGGGCUCUUGGAUCUUGGUUAUAAGGAGUUUACUUUCUGACUGAUGAUGUCUGACUACACCUGGAGAUAAAGCAGCAGGUUGGUAAUGCAUAUUUCUACACAUUUUGUAUUGUGAUUAACUACUAUGGU
rnacentral:lncRNA from 12 species